UCCUUUCUGACGAGUCCCGAACAGGACGAAACAGUUGUCAAAUGC
rnacentral:hammerhead_ribozyme from 1 species